CAGCUCCUCCAGGCAAUCUAAGAAAGGGUAUAAAUACUCUCUCCAUACAAGUUUUUUCUAGCUACUUCUCUUGGCUUGUUCACUCCGGUGCACUGAGGGAGCACUUUAGCACCUGAAAAGAACAGGAAUCUGCAAG